rnacentral:precursor_RNA from 12 species
GUGCUGCCUGUUGCUCUGGGGCUCCAGCUGCAGGACUGCCUCAGAGAGCAGGCUGGUGAACAGAACAGAGCCUGGCCUGAGUCUGUCCUAUCUCUGGAGCUUUCUCUGAACCCUGGCGUGGG